rnacentral:rRNA from 1 species
GAUGAACGCUGGCGGCGUGCCUAAUACAUGCAAGUCGAGCGAAUGGAUUAAGAGCUUGCUCUUAUGAAGUUAGCGGCGGACGGGUGAGUAACACGUGGGUAACCUGCCCAUAAGACUGGGAUAACUCCGGGAAACCGGGGCUAAUACCGGGUAACAUUUUGAACCGCAUGGUUCGAAAUUGAAAGGCGGCUUCGGCUGUCACUUAUGGAUGGACCCGCGUCGCAUUAGCUAGUUGGUGAGGUAACGGCUCACCAAGGCAACGAUGCGUAGCCGACCUGAGAGGGUGAUCGGCCACACUGGGACUGAAACACGGCCCAGACUCCUACGGGAGGCAGCAGUAGGGAAUCUUCCGCAAUGGACGAAAGUCUGACGGAGCAACGCCGCGUGAGUGAUGAAGGCUUUCGGGUCGCAAAACUCUGUUGUUAGGGAAGAACAAGUGCUAGUUGAAUAAGCUGGCACCUUGACGGUACCUAACCAGAAAGCCACGGCUAACUACGUGCCAGCCGCCGCAGUAA